UAUGAGCAGACAUAAAAAGUGUUUCAAAAUGAGUGCUAUUUUAAUAAUAAUAUCUAAUGCUAUUACUGUACUAAUAGUUAAACUAACUCCAGAUUCUCAAAGAUUUUGCCCAUAUGAUUGGAUUGGUUUCCAAAACAAAUGCUAUUAUUUCUCUAAGGAAGAAGGAGAUUGAAAUUCAAGUAAAUACAGCUGUUCCACUCAACAUACUGACCUAACUAAAAUUGACAGCAAAGAAGAAAUGCAUUUUCUUAGGCGGUACAAACACAGUUCUGAUCACUGGAUUGGGCUGAAGAUGGCAAAAAAUCAAACAGGACAAUAGGUAGAUGGAGCUAAAUUUAACAAAUCGUUUGUCGUGAAAGGGAGGGAAGAAUGUGCCUACCUCAGUGAUGAUGGUACAGCAACAGCUAGAUGCUACACAGAAAGAAAAUGGAUUUGCAGGAAAAAAAUACACUAAGUUAAUGUCUUAGAUAAUAGGGCAACAAAAAGUAAGAUUAUUAAGGAUGAAACAAACAAAGUUUUUUUUUAAUUAAACAAAGUUGAAGUUUUGUAUCUGUCUGGUUAAUUUAUUCUUAUGAAUCAGGCUACACAUAAAACUCACUUCAAACACUGGCAAAAAUGGUUACAGGUAUUCUGCUGAGUUUGUUUUUUUUUUAACUUUAAGCCAGAAAAUGAUUUUGGAGAUCAAGGAUAGACAUGGCACUUUUUGACAGGACUGUCAUGUCUGAAUUUGAAACAAUUUGAGUACCAGAAUAGGAGAUUAUAACCUAUUGAACAAAAUGUAAAACUGGGAGUCCACAAAGAUAUAACUGGAAAGAUGAAGUACCUUCUGACAGAGCAAGAAUUGCACUGAACAACGUCACACAGACAAUGGCUAUUUUAUUCAAGACUGUUACCACAGGGAAAAGUCUGAACUAAAAUUUUAGUUCAGUCUGAAUUAAAUCUGCCAAAACAAAAUGGGGUGGGGCAUUAAGAAUGAGGAUGAAGAGGAGCUCAUAUACCAUCCGCAUUUGCUAAUUGGAUUUACCCAAAAGAAAAUUAAACUUUCUUUGAUCUGUAAAAAUUGAUGAAACAAAUGGGGUCAUUCUUGUCAUAUGCAACUAAAACACAGUGGACAGGCCAGGGGAAAAAGGCACUCAGGGCACAUAGCAUUGCUUCAAAAAUGUAAUUUUCUACAAACCUAGCUGCUAAAACUGCCUGUUGUAGCCUAAAACCAGUUUUACCUAACAGUAGCUAAAAUAACUUGCUGUGACUGCAAGACUGGUUUUACCCACCACUGUCACACACCAAUCAGAACUUGCCAGCUCCUCGAAACUUUACUAGAGCCAGUAAACUUUCUUUCAAAACAAUA